AUUUUGGCCACAUCUCGGAGUACCACAGUGGUUUCUUAAAUUUUUUGCUUUUACUGACAAGCCAAAAAAUUCAAGAAACCACUGUGGUACUCCGCAGAUGUGGCCAAAAU